UGGGGAAUUUUGCACAAUGGGCGCAAGCCUGAUCCAGCCAUGCCGCGUGAGUGAUGAAGGCCCUAGGGUUGUAAAGCUCUUUCACCGGUGAAGAUAAUGACGGUAACCGGAGAAGAAGCCCCGGCUAACUUCGUGCCAGCAGCCGCGGUAAUACGGAAGGUUCGGGCGUUAUCCGGAUUUAUUGGGUUUAAAGGGAGCGUAGGCCGUUUGGUAAGCGUGUUGUGAAAUGUAGGAGCUCAACUUCUAGAUUGCAGCGCGAACUGUCAGACUUGAGUGCGCACAACGUAGGCGGAAUUCAUGGUGUAGCGAUGAAAUGCUUAGAUAUCAUGAAGAACUCCGAUUGCGAAGGCAGCUUACGGGAGCGCAACUGACGCUGAAGCUCGAAGGUGCGGGUAUCGAACAGG
rnacentral:rRNA from 1 species